AUGGAUUGGCCGGGUACCGAACCACACAGCCCCGGCAACGCCUCCACGCCGCAUGCAGAAGUUCUCGAAGUGAAGAGCUCAUUAUGUGGCUCCAUCGUCAGAAGCAUGAACUCUGUGUCUCUCCCUCUCGCUUCGUGGUCUCAAAUCACUGAUGACAUAACUUGGAACAUCCUCGUGCUAGUUUCACCACAUCCUGUCACCAUUGCAAGGAUAGCAGCCGUGUGCAGGACGUGGCGCUCCAUUGUCAGGACUAGCAAGUUCCUGAGGAGGCUGAUGGAGCAUCACGAAGUAACACCACUCAUGGGUUUUUUCACCAACGUCCCUAGCUCAGAUCGUUUCCUCCCUUUUGAUCAGCAUCUAGGUGUUGUCGGUGUCCCUCGAUUCACCCUGCCCAUCUUGUAUCCAGACAACCGCCUCCCCACUCUCUCCACGAGCCACUGGGAGGUUCUUGCUUGCCGCCAUGGUAAGGUUUUGCUGCUUGGAGGGGCCGUACCUAUGCUCUUAGUGUGGGAUCCAAUCACUAGUCAUCAGACAUUAACACGCACCCACAGCGAACUGGCCUAUGUCCACGGCACAGUGGUAUGUGUCGCCCACCACCACCAUGGAAACUGUCACUCGUCGCCUUGGGUUGUUGUCUGGAUUGUGAGCACCGGCCGCGAAAUCAAGGUAAGAAGGUGGUCAUCGGUAACCCAAGCUUGUAAUAUCCCGCAAGCUCAAGUUUGGUUCGACGGCCUGGUUGAUUUCCGUCCAAGCACGUUGAUCGGUGAUGUUUUGUAUUGGCAUUUGACCAAUAACUUCCUCAUUGCCUUCGACAUGGCUGAGAAUCUGCUCCACCCUAUCGAGUUGCCCGAAGCAAUGCCAUCUCUUAAAUUCCGACGCCACGUCCACGUCGUGCCAUUAGACGAUGAUGUUCUUGGCUUGGCAGUUCUGAACACUUCAGUGCUCGAGAUUUGGUCCAGGGUUGGAGGCAUCAAUGAAGGAUCUUCCUGGGCCAUGAACUAUACCAUCCCUUUGCUUUCCAUCAUGCCCAUCCAAGAUGACCACAUCAUAAAUCAUCAUAGGCCACAAGGCCGAAUUGUGUGUGUCAUGGAGGACAGGAAAGUUAUCCUCAUUCGUGCUGCUGACGGGGUAUAUGAAGUGGAUUAUCAAAGGAAGACAUCCACCAAGAUCAUGGGAGAAACACCAAGGGGGACUAUGUUUGCAUAUGAGAGCUUCUACAUUGCAGGUGUCGCUGGUGUCGACGAGGCAUGA
rnacentral:rRNA from 1 species